GACUGUAGAGAAAGGAACAGCUACAUCUGCCUAGAGAAAUCCAUACAGAAGAGGGAAAUGCUUGUGCUGAGGCUUGAAAGAGGAGGAAACACUGGCUCCAUGAAGCCUUCAUCGACCCUCAAGGAUUGGAUUGCCUUGGCUAUUCGGAGAGCCAUGUUUUAAUUGGAGCAAGUCACCCAAAAAGAAGAGUGUGACAACAGAAGGUCUACCUCCCCGGCCACAGCCUUGUCUAGCCCUGGGGGCCCUGACUAUCUUCCUGCCUCCCCAGCUUUGGAUUUGGGUCAAGAAAGUUUAUUAAAGAAUUACUUUUAGAUAACUGAGGACGGGUGAAG
rnacentral:lncRNA from 1 species